GUCCGCACGGUAAACGAUGGAUGCCCGCUGUUGGUCUGAACAGGUCAGCGGCCAAGCGAAAGCAUUAAGCAUCCCACCUGGGGAGUACGCCGGCAACGGUGAAACUCAAAGGAAUUGACGGGGGCCCGCACAAGCGGAGGAACAUGUGGUUUAAUUCGAUGAUACGCGAGGAACCUUACCCGGGCUCAAACGACAGCGGACAGCUCCUGAAAAGGGGGUCUCCGGCAAACGGCCGCUGUCGAGGUGCUGCAUGGUUGUCGU
rnacentral:rRNA from 1 species